ACCCUAGGGUACACACCAAAAACCCUGUGCCCAAUUUUCUCUCUUUUCUUUCUUUUUCUCUCGAAAGGUUUUGGACCUUCACUUUAUGCAGAAGCCUUCCUCACACUCCAAAGUUUCUCUCCUAAAAUUUCUACGCACGUCCCACCUUUCUCCUCUUUUUAAAAUAACGUCGAACGUGUCUUAUCCGCGUGAGAGGAUAAAGACAAGAGGUUACACAUUUGAAUUCAAAUCAAAUUUGAAUUCAAACAAAAAUCAACUUAUCCCUAUCCU
rnacentral:lncRNA from 1 species